GAGGGGGAGUGGGGAAAGUGAAAGUGCCUUCGUCAUCAGGGGGAGGGCCUUGGGAGAACCCAUUUCCGGGCAGGGAUUUUGGAGAGGGGGGGUUCCCUCCUGUCUGAGUGGACCCCCUUUUCCACCUUUCACUGGGCAGCAGCUCCCAAAGCUGGCAGCCUGACAUCAUCAUCAUCAUUUCUUUAUAUUCCACCUUUUCCCUGAGAAGCAGCUCCCAAAGCUGGCAGCCAGGCAUCAUCAUCAUCAUCAUCUACUUAUAUUCCACCUUUUCCUGGGGAGCAGCUCCCAAAGCUGGCAGCCUGGCAUCAUCAUCAUCACCAUUUCUUUAUAUUCCACCUUUUUCCUAGGAAGCAGCUCCCAAAGCUGGCAGCCUGGCUUCAUCAUCAUCAUCAUCAUCAUCAUCAUCAACUACUUAUAUUCCACCUUUUCCUGGGGAGCAGCUCUCAAAGCUGGCAGCCUGGCAUCACCAUCAUCAUCAUUUCUUUAUAUUCCACCUUUUCCCUGGGAAGCAGCUCCCAAAGCUGGCAGCCUGGCAUCAUCAUCAUCAUCAUCAUUUACUUAUAUUCCGCCUUUUCCCGUGAGAAUCCAGGCAGACAAAAAUAAAAAUAAAUGUUAAAAAACCCUUUUAUUUAUAUCCCGCUUUUCACGAAAACAAUCCAAGCGGCGUACGGCAUAUUAAAAACAUAUAAUAAUAUAUAUACAUAAUAUUUCUCCCUCCCCUCUUUAAAAAAAGAAUUAAAUUGGUUAAGAUUAAAAAAUUACAGCCAAUUUACAAUCAAAUACAAUAGAAUAUCAAAUUCACAUUUUUGAAUAAUCCCCCGUCCUCCCAACCCUCCUCCCCAUCAUAAAGAUAACAGCUAAAAAAAAACCAGUAAAACAAUAACAGUAAAAGAAAAUCAAAGUUAAAGAUUAACUAAAAUUAAAGGUAGACUGGAGGCGAGAAAAGCAGCUUCUUCUUGGUGCGGACAGGGAUCGGGACAGGGAUCGUCAAUCUCAAUAUCGAUACCAAUAAGGAGAAGGCUAAUCUGGAAAGGCCUGCCAGAAGAGAUCCGUCUUAACAGACAUUUUAAAGGUUUCUAGGGUGGUAAUGUGACGGAUCUUCUCCACUCUUGGGUGGAUUUGGGGUGUUGAGAUGGCUGGAAUAUGGGGGCUGCUGUGCUUGGUGAAGGAAGCUUUUUCCCCUACUUGAGUUCUGAUGGUUUUGCUUUCUGCACUGGUGAAAGGAUGCUCCCACUGGCAUCAGUCAGAUAUAUCCGGGAAGACAAUAAAUCAAGUAGGAGUUGCAACUCAACAGGUCUCCUGUCCAAGAGCACCAAACCUCCAGAGGUGGAAACAGGCCCUAUAUCAGCAGGUCCAAGCUUCUGUGAUUAUCUUCUGAAGAUGGGGAAGAGUUCUAUCUGCCUUCACUUCUGAACAGACUGUGGAGAAAAUCCCUUUGACACACCAUUCUACCCAUAUCGCCUGAAAGGCAGGGGAAGGAGAGAACAAGGGAGGUUGUACCAACAGCUCUGGAUGUUAUCAGACAAGGGAAAUUGGAAGUAUAAUCCAAUGGCAAUCUGAGUGCAAUCAUGGGGUUUAA